AUUGAACGCUGGCGGCAUGCCUUACACAUGCAAGUCGAACGGCAGCGGACCUCCGGGUGCCGGCGAGUGGCGAACGGGUGAGUAAUGCAUCGGAACGUACCUUUCAGUGGGGGAUAACGUAGCGAAAGUUACGCUAAUACCGCAUAUUCUGUGAGCAGGAAAGCAGGGGAUCGCAAGACCUUGCGCUGAUUGAGCGGCCGAUGUCAGAUUAGCUAGUUGGUGAGGUAAAGGCUCACCAAGGCGACGAUCUGUAGCGGGUCUGAGAGGAGGAUCCGCCACACUGGGACUGAGACACGGCCCAGACUCCUACGGGAGGCAGCAGUGGGGAAUUUUGGACAAUGGGGGCAACCCUGAUCCAGCCAUGCCGCGUGAGUGAAGAAGGCCUUCGGGUUGUAAAGCUCUUUCGGCCGGGAAGAAAUCGCACAGGCUAAUACCUUGUGUGGAUGACGGUACCGGAAUAAGAAGCACCGGCUAACUACGUGCCAGCCGCCGCCGUAAUAC
rnacentral:rRNA from 1 species